AUGGCCACGCUCUCGCCUGGGCAGCGGCAGCAGCCGGGCGUGGACCGCCUCAGUGCGCUGCCCGACGAACUCCUUGUGACCAUCCUGGAUGGCCUAGACACCCGCUCCGCGGUCGCCACCACCGUCCUAGCCAAGCGCUGGACGCACCUCCCCCGCCUCCUCAGCGCACUCGAGUUUAGGGUCACUGACAUGUUUCCACCGCCGGUGUACCAACAGUCUCCCUCCUUCCUGGAGCAAUACGCGCCGGCCAUCAUGGCCAGGUACAACGACGCCAUUGACAGAUUCAUGGAAGCGGCCCACGCCGACGGUAGCUAUAUCCCCCAGCCCGGCAGGAGGCUCCGGCUCGAGUUCUUCGACCCGGACGAACCCGCUUUCGUUGACCGCCUGAUCGGCACAGCAGUCAGAAGCUGGGGCGUGGAGGACCUGGAGGUCAUAGUCAAGCCGGUGGCACACCAUAUCGCUUACUUCUUCCCUCAUCAUUACCUCGACGACGAGUCGGCGCAAUUCAUCCGCAGCCUCACUCUCGGAGGUUGUAGCCUCCUCCCGCCGCUGCACAGGUACGGCAAGCUCACUGCGCUCGUCCUUCAGGAUAUCAGCCCAUCGGUGCCUGUGGCGGCCUACGCCGGUGUGUUUUCCAGGUGCCCGGGGCUGCGGUCCGUGCACCUCAGGCGCUGCCACCCCGAAACCGACAACAACAUACCCAGCGUCAUGGAGGUGGACGCGCCGGCGUCGGGGAUCAUUGAGCUCGUCGUCUACCACUGCUCGUUCCAGGCGAUCCGGCUGCUCGCUCUCCCGGCGCUGGAGCGCCUGGAGUGCAGCGGCAGCCCCGUCAGUCUGGCAUUCGGCAUCAUCCCGCGCCUGGCGCACGUAGUCCUCAGCCUAGGAUUCUUCAUCCUGGAAGGCGACCCCUGGGACGACCGGUACGACUAUACGCUCGACGAGCUCCUGGUGGCGGUUAACCCUGCGGCCGUGACGGUCACGGACCUCGUCCUCCGGUUCACGGGUACCUACAGGUGGGUGGAGCCGUGGCUCGACGGCGUGACGCCGUUCCUCGUCCUGCGCAGGCUGCAGAUGGCGGACGUGCCUUCCAACUGGGACGUGUCGUGGGCGUACCUCCUCCUCGAGGCGGCGCCGUCGCUCGAAGUCCUCCACGUGAGCGUCACCCCCUGCGCCGAGGACUCGCAGCGCGACGUCGACAUCAUGUGGCGUCCGUCCAAGUACCGUCACCGUCACCUCAAGGAGCUGGUGAUCGUCGGGUUCGAGCUGACGCCGACGCAGGCGUGCCUGGUCAGGCUCGUCAUGAAGACGUGCAAGGCGCUGAGGCGCGUCGUGUUGAUGAAGGGCGGCCGCAUCGAGGACAGGGGACUCGGGGGCGGCUGGGAGGUGGUGGCGCCGCAGGACAACGGCUGGAGCGACGACGAGAAGGUGGCCGCGGAGAGGGCGAUCAAGAAAGUCAGAUACUUCAAGCUGUACGGUCAUCUGUUCUUUGCAUGA
rnacentral:rRNA from 1 species